UAGGGAAUCUUCCACAAUGGACGCAAGUCUGAUGGAGCAACGCCGCGUGAGUGAAGAAGGUUUUCGGAUCGUAAAGCUCUGUUGUUGGUGAAGAAGGAUAGAGGCAGUAACUGGUCUUUAUUUGACGGUAAUCAACCAGAAAGUCACGGCUAACUACGUGCCAGCAGCCGCGGUAAUACGUAGGUGGCAAGCGUUGUCCGGAUUUAUUGGGCGUAAAGCGAGCGCAGGCGGAAUGAUAAGUCUGAUGUGAAAGCCCACGGCUCAACCGUGGAACUGCAUCGGAAACUGUCAUUCCUGAGUGCAGAAGAGGAGAGUGGAAUUCCAUGUGUAGCGGUGGAAUGCGUAGAUAUAUGGAAGAACACCAGUGGCGAAGGCGGCUCUCUGGUCUGCAACUGACGCUGAGGCUCGAAAGCAUGGGUAGCGAACAGG
rnacentral:rRNA from 1 species